UCAUAGGAGCUUUAACAUGUGUCAGCAGUGUCAGGUCAGUUGUAUUUCAUGUCUUUUGAGCAGGACUGACUGAUGGAUCUCAAAGGGGAGCAGUUAUUGGAGGAAUCAUUGGGAUCAUCUUACUCAUCUGCUUGGUAGUCGGUGUAAUUCUUGCUCUCGUGUUUUGGAGACGGUUAAAAUCAAAUGGCUCAUCUCAACAAUCUCUGUGUCAAACAGGUGAAGAACUGGCAAAAAGAGACACUGACGAAGGCAUCCACUAUGGAGAGAUAAACUUCUCCAAGAGUAAUCCUGAACC